rnacentral:tRNA from 1 species
CGACGAGUUCCGGGUUCGAGUCCCGGGCAACCCA